rnacentral:lncRNA from 1 species
GGUCUGGGGCCCCGCGGGCGCGCAGUGCUGCGGCGUGUGGGGAGUACGGGGAGGCUGGAGAGGAGCCGGCCCCGGGCAGUGUGAGGUGCGGAAGCGCGGUCCAGACACUUUGCUGACGGGAGGCCGGUCCGCCAGAUCCGGGAGGUGGGGCCUCGUUCUGGACUGCUGAGAAUGAUAAGGGGAGAGAGUAAGAAAGCAAUGAGAUACACAUGUCUUGACUGCUUCUCUUCAUGCUGAAAUCCUGGGGGAAAGAAGUGCUAAAUCAGUUGAGGACAUGGGAACAUUUAUUCUGGAAGAAAUUUGGGUACAGAGACAGACAAGCACCAAGAGAAGAUGAUGUGAAGAAGCACAGCGAGAACACCAUGUGAAAAUGGAGGACUGGAAUGAAGCAUCUACAAGCCAGGAAAUGUCUGAGGCUACCAGAAGCCAGGAGAGAGGCCUGGAACAGAUCCUGCACUAGAACCUUCAAAGAGAGCAUGGUCCUGCUGACAUGUUGAUUUUGGACUUCUGGCCUCCAGAGCUGUGAGAAU